GCCACCAGUGGCCGAGCGAGCGGAGCCCAGUUUGAGCCAGCGCCUAGCGGUGAAUUGGGGCCCUCACCAUGAGUUCCUCGCCUGUUAAUGUAAAAAAGCUGAAGGUGUCAGAGCUGAAAGAGGAGCUUAAGAAGCGGCGCCUUUCUGACAAGGGGCUCGAGGCCGAGCUCAUGGAGCGACUCCAGGCCGCGCUGGACGACGAGGAGGCUGGGGGCCGCCCCGCCAUGGAGCCCGGGAACGGCAGCCUAGACCUGGGCGGAGAUUCCCCCGGGCGCUUGGGAGCAGGCCUCGAGCAGGAGGCCGCGACUGGCGGCGACGAAGAAGAGGAGGAGGAGGAAGAGGAGGAGGAAGGGAUCACCGCCCUGGAUGGCGACCAGAUGGAGAGAGGAGAAGAGAACGGGGCCGCGGGGGCAGCCGACUCGGCCCGAGGAGGAGGAGGACGCCUCGGAAGACGAGAACGGCGACGAUCAGGGUUUCCAGGAAGGGGAGGAUGAGCUCGGAGACGAGGAGGAAGGCGCGGGCGACGAGAGCGGGCACGGGGAGCAGCAGCCUCAACCGCCGGCGACGCCGCAGCAGCAGACCCAACAGCAGCGCGGGGCCGCCAAGGGGGCCGCGGGGAAGAGCAGCGGCCCCACCUCGCUUUUCGCGGUGACGGUGGCGCCGCCCGGGGCGAGGCAGGGCCAGCAGCAGGCGGGAGGAGACGCAAAACAGAGCAGAAAGGCGGAGAUAAAAAGAGAGGUGUUAAAAGACCUCGAGAAGAUCAUGGCCGUGGAUAUUUUGAGUACAUUGAAGAGAACAAGUAUAACAGAGCCAAAUCUCCUCAGCCACCUGUUGAAGAAGAAGAUGAACACUUGGAUGACACAGUGGUUUGUCUUGAUACUUAUAAUUGUGAUCUACAUUUUAAAAUAUCAAGAGAUCGCCUCAGUGCUUCUUCCCUUACUAUGGAGAGUUUUGCUUUUCUUUGGGCUGGCGGAAGGGCCUCUUACGGUGUGUCAAAAGGCAAAGUCUGUUUUGAAAUGAAGGUUACAGAGAAGAUCCCAGUAAGGCAUUUAUAUACAAAAGAUAUUGACAUCCAUGAAGUUCGAAUUGGCUGGUCACUAACCACGAGUGGAAUGUUGCUUGGUGAAGAAGAAUUUUCUUAUGGGUGUUCUUUAAAAGGAAUAAAAACAUGCAAUUGUGAGACUGAAGAUUACGGAGAGAAAUUUGAUGAAAAUGAUGUGAUUACGUGUUUUGCUAACUUUGAAAGUGAUGAAGUAGAACUCUCCUAUGCUAAGAAUGGACAAGAUCUUGGCAUUGCCUUCAAAAUCAGUAAGGAAGUUCUUGCUGGACGGCCAUUCUUCCCACACGUUCUCUGCCACAACAGUGCAGUUGAAUUUAAUUUUGGUCAGAAGGAAAAGCCAUAUUUUCCAAUACCUGAAGAAUAUACUUUCAUCCAGAAUGUUCCCUUAGAGGAUCGAGUGAGAGGACCAAAGGGACCUGAAGAAAAGAAAGAUUGUGAAGUUGUGAUGAUGAUUGUCUUGCCAGGAGCUGGUAAAACUACCUGGGUUACUAAACAUGCAGCAGAAAAUCCAGGGAAGUACAACAUUCUUGGAACAAAUACCAUUAUGGAUAAAAUGAUGGUGGCAGGUUUUAAGAAGCAAAUGGCAGAUACUGGAAAACUGAACACACUGUUGCAGAGAGCCCCACAGCGUCUCGGAAAGUUUAUUGAGAUUGCGGCCCGAAAGAAGAGAAAUUUCAUUCUGGAUCAGACAAAUGUGUCUGCUGCUGCCCAGAGGAGAAAAAUGUGCCUGUUUGCAGGCUUCCAGCGAAAAGCUGUUGUAGUUUGCCCAAAAGAUGAAGACUAUAAGCAAAGAACACAGAAGAAAGCAGAAGUAGAGGGGAAGGACCUACCAGAACAUGCAGUCCUCAAAAUGAAAGGAAACUUUACGCUCCCAGAGGUAGCUGAGUGCUUUGAUGAAAUAACCUACGUUGAACUUCAGAAGGAAGAAGCCCAAAAACUUUUGGAGCAAUAUAAGAAAGAAAGCAAAAAGGCUCUUCCACCAGAAAAGAAACAAAACACUGGCUCAAAGAAGAGUAAUAAAGACAAGAGUGGCAAGAACCAGUUUAACAGAGGUGGUGGCCAUAGAGGACGAGGAGGAUUCAAUAUGCGUGGUGGAAAUUUCGGAGGGGGAGCUCCUGGGAAUCGUGGUGGAUAUAACAGGAGGGGCAAUAUGCCACAGAGAGGUGGUGGUGGUGGCGGAAGUGGUGGAAUCGGCUAUCCGUACCCUCGUGGCCCUGUUUUUCCCAGCCGAGGUGGUUAUUCAAACAGAGGGAACUACAACAGAGGUGGAAUGCCCAACAGAGGGAACUACAACCAGAACUUCAGAGGACGAGGAAACAAUCGUGGCUACAAAAAUCAAUCUCAGGGCUACAACCAGUGGCAGCAGGGUCAAUUCUGGGGUCAGAAGCCAUGGAGUCAGCAUUAUCACCAAGGAUAUUAUUGAAUACCCAAAUAAAACGAACU